rnacentral:rRNA from 1 species
AGUGAACGCUGGCGGUAGGCCUAACACAUACAAGUCGAACGGCAGCACAGUAAGAGCUUGCUCUUACGGGUGGCGAGUGGCGGGCGGGUGAGGAAUACAUCGUAAUCUACUUUUUCGUGGGGGAUAACGUAGGGAGACUUACGCUAAUACCGCAUACGACCUACGGUUGAAAGCAGGGGAACUUCUGACCUUGCGCGAUUGAAUGAGCGGAUGUCGGUUUAGCUGGUUGGCGGGGUAAUGGCCCACCAAGGCGGCGAUCCGUAGCUGGUCUGAGUGGAUGGUCGGCCACCCUGGAACUUAGCCACGGUCCAGACUCCUACGGGAGGCAGCAGUGGGGAAUGUUGGACAAUGGGCGCAAGCCUGGUCCAGCCAGACCGAGUGUGUGAAGAAGGCCUUCGGGUUGUAAAGCCCUUUUGUUGGGAAAGAAAAGCAGCAGGUUAAUACCCCGCGGUUCUGACGGUACCCAAUGAAUAAGCACCGGCUAACUUCGUG